UAUUAGUUUGCAGAGUGAAAGGAAAACCAUGCACUUACAAGGCACAUUUGCCUUAUCCAAGGCAUUGUGUUCUAUUAAGCCUCAAAUAGUCAAUGGCACAAGUUUGAUAAAACUGCUCUUGUGACCCUUUGCCAUUUUGUUAAGUUUUAGACAUAAAUUUGAUAAAUUUGCUGGACCUUCCCCCUGUGAAUUUUAGUUUUGGGCUCAAAUUGGCUAAAACUGCUAGUCUUACCCCUUGUGUUUUUUAAACUGUAGGCCAAAUUUGAUAAAACUGCUGGACUCGCCACUUGUGAUUGUUCAAUUUGAGGCUAAAAUUCAGUAAACCUGCUGGACUUUAUACCCCUUGCUAUUUUAAAAUUUUAGAUGCAAACUUAUUUUUUUCUUUUAAAUGUUUUUCUUUGUAGUGUCAUGAAGACUUCAAGAGAUCACCAGUUACAAGCUCAUAUGAAUCUGAAUAUGAUGUAGGCCUAUACCUAAGAAGUGUUUGUCAGCCACCAUUAUGAAGAUGUCGAAAGAUCACCAGUAACAAGCUCAUAAUGAUCUGAAUAUGGUAAAGGCCUAUAACUUAAAAGGUAAUACAUAAUUCUGAACGAUUGUUUUUGUUGGCUUUUGAAGGAUGUGUUGGUAAAUGGAGCUCCACAUUAAAUAGAACUAGCACCCAGAUUAAAUUCAUCUAGCUAAAAAAAGGCUGAUCACCUUCCAUUGCCAUGCAUUUUUAAGUCUCAAAUAAUUGAUGGCACAAGUUUGAUAAAACUGGUGAAAAGCUCUCGAAUUUGUCAAUUUUAGGCAAAUAUUAAACUGCUAGACCUAGUACCCUUUUUUAAAUUUAUUUAUAAUAGUGGCUGCAUGGUGCUGGUAGUCUUAAUAAACAAUACUUCUGAUUAAAUCUGGGUUGGGGGGUGUCUGUUGCAUUCCCCCUCCCAAUCAAAACCUCUUUAGGUCAGUAUUCCACCCAAAUUAUCUUGCACAUUUGAGGGAUUGCCUUUGAAAUUAUAAUUGACCAAUAAAACCUUGACUUGACAAAAGGAAAGUUAGCAAAACAGUCUAACACUUGGAUUUCUUGUUGUCUUGUGAGAAAAUAUGCAUAAGGCACCGACCAUGUAUCGCAGAACCUCGGCUGUUAGCCACAGCAGAUAAAUAAUCUGCCAGGGUAUAGCGUAGAAAUCCAAGGCAUUGUGUUCUAUUAAGCCUCAAAUAGUCAAUGGCACAAGUUUGAUAAAACUGCUCUUGUGACCCUUUGCCAUUUUGUUAAGUUUUAGACAUAAAUUUGAUAAAUUUGCUGGACCUUCCCCCUGUGAAUUUUAGUUUUGGGCUCAAAUUGGCUAAAACUGCUAGUCUUACCCCUUGUGUUUUUUAAACUGUAGGCCAAAUUUGAUAAAACCGCUGGACUCGCCACUUGUGAUUGUUCAAUUUGAGGCUAAAAUUCAGUAAACCUGCUGGACUUUAUACCCCUUGCUAUUUUAAAAUUUUAGAUGCAAACUUAUUUUUUUCUUUUAAAUGUUUUUCUUUGUAGUGUCAUGAAGACUUCAAGAGAUCACCAGUUACAAGCUCAUAUGAAUCUGAAUAUGAUGUAGGCCUAUACCUAAGAAGUGUUUGUCAGCCACCAUUAUGAAGAUGUCGAAAGAUCACCAGUAACAAGCUCAUAAUGAUCUGAAUAUGGUAAAGGCCUAUAACUUAAAAGUGUCAUGAAGACUUCAAGAGAUCACCAGUUACAAGCUCAUAUGAAUCUGAAUAUGAUGUAGGCCUAUACCUAAGAAGUGUUUGUCAGCCACCAUUAUGAAGAUGUCGAAAGAUCACCAGUAACAAGCUCAUAAUGAUCUGAAUAUGGUAAAGGCCUAUAACUUAAAAGGGCCAGUAGUUCCUGGAGAUCAACUGCUUUGGGCAAACAUCAGUAUCAUCAAGACAUCCG